AAGGAGAUGGAGUAGGAAAUGGA
rnacentral:piRNA from 1 species